rfam:Calypte anna contig6089, whole genome shotgun sequence.
UAUUUGUGAUGACAGUCACAGCAUAAAGCACUGACUGCUGUGACCUGAUUGUAGAAAUA